UUCAAUGAUAAUUCCCCAAUCAACAAUUCAAAAAACCCACCUCAUUCUUAAAUUCAUAAACCAUAUCCCUCCAUUUUACUUUUAAGUUCCUCCACCAUAUCCUCACCUUGCUCCUCCUCAUGAUUUGGUUCCACCAUUGUUACAUGAUAUGCAACAACUCUGAGCUUUAUUCAACAUAUUAGACAUGAACAAAAUCAUGUUGAACAUUUU
rnacentral:lncRNA from 1 species